UAAAUCAUUGCCCUUUAUCGUUUCAGGUUGCACAAGAAAAGGUCAAACAGCAAGAGGCCGGGACCUGUGCCUGGUGUCAAACGUUCACCGUCCAACAGUUCAGUCAACAGUCUGAGUAGCUACAUCAGCAACGUCAGCAACGCCUCCAAGCGCUCUCAGCAGUCUCAGCGCUCUCUGCACCUCAGCGACAGCAGCGACUGGCAGGAGCCCGUCGGUUUGGCCUACUCUGAAUCGUUCUCUCCCCUUGCCAAGCUGUGGGGCUGGAUCUCGCUGCUGUCUCCA